rnacentral:rRNA from 1 species
GACGAACGCUGGCGGCGUGCCUAACACAUGCAAGUCGAACGGAAAGGCCCUGAUUUUGUGGGGUGCUCGAGUGGCGAACGGGUGAGUAACACGUGUGUAACCUGCCCUUGACUUUCGGAUAACUUCAGGAAACUGGGGCUAAUACCGGAUAGGAUCUCCUGCAGCAUGGUGGGCGUUGGAUAGUUUCGGCGGUUGGGGAUGGACUAGCGGCUUAUCAGCUUGUUGGUGGGGUAGUGGCUUACCAAGGCUUUGACGGGUAGCCGGCCUGAGAGGGUGACCGGCCACAUGGGGCCUGAGGUACGGCCCAGACGCCUACGGGAGGCAGCAGGGGGGAAUAUGGCACAAUGAGCGGAAGCCUGUUGCAGCAACGCCGCGUGCGGGAUGACGGCUUUCUGGUUGUAAACCGCUUUCGCCUGUGACGAAGCGGGAGUGACGGUAAUGGGUAAAGAAGCACCGGCUAACUACGUG